rnacentral:rRNA from 1 species
CCAGCUAAGGUCCCAAAGUCAUGGUUAAGUGGGAAACGAUGUGGGAAGGCCCAGACAGCCAGGAUGUUGGCUUAGAAGCAGCCAUCAUUUAAAGAAAGCGUAAUAGCUCACUGGUCGAGUCGGCCUGCGCGGAAGAUGUAACGGGGCUAAACCAUGCACCGAAGCUGCGGCAGCGACGCUUAUGCGUUGUUGGGUAGGGGAGCGUUCUGUAAGCCUGCGAAGGUGUGCUGUGAGGCAUGCUGGAGGUAUCAGAAGUGCGAAUGCUGACAUAAGUAACGAUAAAGCGGGUGAAAACCCCGCUCGCCGGAAGACCAAGGGUUCCUGUCCAACGUUAAUCGGGGCAGGGUGAGUCGACCCCUAAGGCGAGGCCGAAAGGCGUAGUCGAUGGGAAACAGGUUAAUAUUCCUGUACUUGGUGUUACUGCGAAGGGGGG